AAUUAGAUUAUCUUUUUAAAUGUAAUUAUUUUUAAUUUCUUUGUAUUGUUAAUGAUAUAUAUCACUUAAUACCUUUUGGUGUAUCGUUUUAAUAGGUAUGUAUGGGAUUGCCAAUGCAUUCAAUGAAACCAAGCUGCUUAUAAAUCCCAACAUUGAAGAAUGUUGCACCUACAAGAAAGGAAUGCAAAUUGGCAAUGCAUCUUUGACCCAAGGGGUCACCCAGAUGACAGCACAAUCUUCACUUUCUUUGUCUAAUGAUCUACUCCAAACAAAAAACAUGACAAUUUCAGAUAUUACACAAGCUAAACAGGUGGGUGCAUGUGUUGUCUUGGCUAAAAUUAUUGACAUAGACACCAAUAAAAAGUGGUGCUACGUUUCAUGUGAUAAG